UAGGGAAUCUUCCACAAUGGGCGAAAGCCUGAUGGAGCAACGCCGCGUGCGUGAUGAAGGGUUUCGGCUCGUAAAACACUGUUGUAAGAGAAGAAUGACAUUGAGAGUAACUGUUCAAUGUGUGACGGUAUCUUACCAGAAAGGAACGGCUAAAUACGUGCCA
rnacentral:rRNA from 1 species